GAAAGCACUCCAGUCAUCUGUCUAGCACAAAAAAAAGUAUGCUCUGUAGAUUCCGCCUGGCUGACAUGCCUGUAUUUGCUGUUGCCUUUUAUAGCGAAAUUAAGACGCAAAUGAUUUUUCGGUUCUUCAUUCUGAUGCGGCUCUGUCAACCUCCGCCCAAUGCUCAUGGCAAAUGUGAUAAGUGCAUUUAUUAUUUUUGCCACGGUACUUCUGACUAAAAAUGUUGCUGGCUCACGCAAGAGACCCGUGCUGGACCCGGACGCCCACUGUAUGCAGUGCACAUGCGCGACCAUGAAGUACAACCUAUGCACGCUGAACAUCACGACCAACUGCAUGUGCAUUGAUGGAAAGUAUCGGCGAGGACAGGGUGGGCCAUGCAUACCGGUGUCGGAAUGUUAUCGCUGAGUUUUAGCGAGCAUUACAUAUAUGCUUUUAGGAAUAAAUAAAAACAUAUUAAAAACCAAGACAAA